rnacentral:rRNA from 1 species
AGCGAACGCUGGCGGCAGGCCUAACACAUGCAAGUCGAACGACCCUUUCGGAGUUAGUGGCGGACGGGUGAGUAACACGUGGGACCGUGCCUUUAGGCUCGGAAUAACACAGGGAAACUGGGGCUAAUACCGAAUAUGUCCUUCGGGGGCAAGAUUCAUCGUCGUUAGAGCGGCCCGCGUCUGCUUAGCUAGUUGGUUGAGGUAAUGGCUCACCAAGGUGACGAUCAGUAGAUGGUCUGAGAGGAUGAGCAGCGACAUUGGGACUGGGACGCGGCGCAAACUCUUGCGGGAGGCGGGAGUGGGUGAUCUAGCGCAACGGGCGAAAGCCUGACGCAGUCAUGCCGCGUGAAUGAUGAAGGUCUGAGGAUUGUGAAAUUCUUUCACCGGGGACGAUAAUGACGGUACCCAAAGAAUAAGCCCCGGCUAACUUCGUG